rfam:Hordeum vulgare subsp. vulgare, WGS project CAJW01000000 data, contig: morex_contig_138893
AUAGUACUUCCUCCGUCUCAAAAAAUUUGUCUUAGAUUUAUCUAGAUAUAAAUAUAUCUAGUUACGUUUUAGUAUUUAGAUACUAUACAUUUAUUUCUAUACGAAACUAAGACAAAAUUUUUGGGACGGAUGGAGUAUUUA